UUGAGUCUUGCGUGCAGUAUGUAGUGCAUUCUUAUUCUUUCCUCUCUUUUUUAAGCGAUAAGAUAAAACGACUUUGUUUCAAUUAUAUUUUUUGUUUGUUUUUAAAACCUGGGUAGACGACCUCGUUUUUGCUAAAUUGAAAGGGAAAAAUAAAAAGGCCAGCAGUGACUACAGAGUUAUAACCCCAUCCCCAGUUUCAAUUUAAUACCAUUUUAAACACUUCAACCCUAAAUCCCCAACCCAACCCACUUUAAACACUUCGACCAAAAAGAACCCCUCAACCUUAUCCAACCAUCACCCAAUCCGACACCCCAACCACCCUCCCGCGCAGGUGGUCGGAGAAGAACCCACCCGAAAUCCAAUUUAUUUUGAAAUUUGGAUUGCUUCCUCAAAUUUGAAUUAAGUAAUAAAGAUUUUUGUUUUUUUGAUUAAUUAGUUUAGGUUUUGUGGUAAUAUCAAUAUUUCAACUGUUAAUAACAAACAAAAUUCAAGCAAGUAAAUUAAUAUUUCAGCUAAUUAAUUAAAUUAUUAAAUGCUAUAUAUGUACGUUUCCUGACAGGAAUUCCAGAUGAGAAUUUUGACGAAGUGAUGAGAGGUUAAAAGAAGCUCAUGCCACGUAAGUAUAUUAACAAUGUGGACUAGAAUGGACGGAAAUGAUCAAGUAAGAAAAUUUUAUCAAUUUUUAGAGAUUUUGGGAAUUAAGUGAGCAAAUUUUAGUUUUAAAUGGUAAAGAGACCGAGCGUCCUUUCCAGUAGUGAAACUGUAAUUAAAUCUAAUGACAAUGACAUAUGUUAUGCUCAAUCUUUUUUCUUUUUCUUUUUCUUUUUUUUUGGGGGGUUAUGGGGCGGAAAUGAAGGGGGGAUUAAAAAUCUUUCUAAUUUGAAUAUUAAGAAUAUAGAGGCAAUAAUGAGAGAAAAAUACUUAAACUAUGAUGAAGUGGAAAUGACAUACCCGACUUCAAACAUAAUGAGGUGGAAAUGACAACGAGGUUAAUUUGCUUGUUACCAUAAAGACAUCUCAGGAGCAGAAGGAAAAACAAUAAUUUUUAAGGAAGGCGAGAGAGUAUUGCACUUCUAAUUUUAUAAUUUUUAUGAGCCGCUAUCUUUGACUUUCCCUCAUAGCUAGCUCAACCCUCAUUCCCACCUCCAACUGAGCGUUUCACAUAGGAGCAAUUCCAGUUCAGCAAGAAAAAGGAUGUUGUCACUGAUUUUAUUUUUGAAUGACGUGUCAAAGCUCGCGCCUUUUGCUCCGGUGUCGCCUUCAACUUCAAUUUCAAUUUCUCGGGGGCGGAAAGCUACGACUUCAACAUGAAACUUUGUGUGAUAUCAAUUAUUAAUAAGUCAAAGGAAACGACAUUAUAACUUGGAGGCGUAUCUCGCAGCAAAGCAAACAAACACUUGCUUUGAGUCAUUCGCAUCGCAGCAAAAAUAAAACUUGGGGUCCCAUCUCGCAUUGCAACAAGUUCUCGCUCACAAACUCUCAUUGACAAGUUCUCGCUCCCCAAUUCGCAUUGCAACAAGUCCCCAACUCGCAUUGCAACAAGUUCUCGCUCACAAACUCUCAUUGACAAGUUCUCGCUCCCCAACUCCCAACUCGUAUUGCAACAAGUUCUCGCUCACAAACUCUCAUUGACAAGUUCUUACUCCC
rnacentral:lncRNA from 1 species